GACGAACGCUGGCGGCGUGCUUAACACAUGCAAGUCGAACGGAAAGGCCCUGCUUGCAGGGUACUCGAGUGGCGAACGGGUGAGUAACACGUGGGUGAUCUGCCCUGCACUUCGGGAUAAGCUUGGGAAACUGGGUCUAAUACCGGAUAGGACCGCACUUUAGUGUGUGUGGUGGAAAGUUUUUUCGGUGUAGGAUGAGCUCGCGGCCUAUCAGCUUGUUGGUGGGGUAAUGGCCUACCAAGGCGGCGACGGGUAGCCGGCCUGAGAGGGUGUACGGCCACAUUGGGACUGAGAUACGGCCCAGACGCCUACGGGAGGCAGCAGUGGGGAAUAUUGCACAAUGGGCGCAAGCCUGAUGCAGCGACGCCGCGUGGGGGAUGAAGGCCUUCGGGUUGUAAACGCCGUUCGCUAGGGACGAAGCUUUUUGUGACGGUACCUAGAUAAGAAGCACCGGCUAACUACGUG
rnacentral:rRNA from 1 species